GACGAACGCNGGCGGCGUGCUUAACACAUGCAAGUCGAACGAAGAGCGAUGGAAGCUUGCUUCUAUCAAUCUUAGUGGCGAACGGGUGAGUAACGCGUAAUCAACCUGCCCUUCAGAGGGGGACAACAGUUGGAAACGACUGCUAAUACCGCAUACGAUCUAAUCUCGGCAUCGAGGAUAGAUGAAAGGUGGCCUCUACAUGUAAGCUAUCACUGAAGGAGGGGAUUGCGUCUGAUUAGCUAGUUGGAGGGGUAACGGCCCACCAAGGCGAUGAUCAGUAGCCGGUCUGAGAGGAUGAACGGCCACAUUGGGACUGAGACACGGCCCAGACUCCUACGGGAGGCAGCAGUGGGGAAUCUUCCGCAAUGGACGAAAGUCUGACGGAGCAACGCCGCGUGAGUGAUGACGGCCUUCGGGUUGUAAAGCUNUGUUAAUCGGGACGAAAGGCCUUCUUGCGAAUAGUGAGAAGGAUGA
rnacentral:rRNA from 1 species